CUUUUAAGGCUGAAAUAUCAUUACAGGAACUGAGAACAAUUGUUCAAACACUGUAACAAGAUCCUUCCGGGGACAGAGUCAAGAUGGAGACCUGAAAGCAACAAGGAGACAGACUCUUCCCCCAAAACUGAUUCAAACCCUGGGAAUUAAAAGGAACACAACUGUAUCUCAAGAAAUGCAAAAAAAGCAAGCAGAUGCAAAUUUAACCAGAACGCCUGCUCCUCAAACAGAGUGCCUGCUAGCCAGAAGGCUAGCGCAAUACUCAACUGAUUUCAUGUCUGCGAAGAUCCUCCCACAUCCCAGAUCCAGCCUUCUGAUGAUGAAACUAAGUGACUGAGGAAGAAGCUUCCCAUCCAGGAGAAGGUGAAACACUUGGAUAUGAUAAAAAAUGGCAAGAAAAUUAUGGAGCUUGCCUGCCAUGAUGACUUGAAUGAGUCUACUGUUUGCUCCAUCUGUAAAGAUAAAAAGAACAUCCCUGCCAUGCCUACUGUCUCAACAAGGAAGCAAAGCUAAAGGGGUGUUAUCUCAUGUCUAGAGGGCUCUAAUACUGUUAAAACAUAUUGAGAAUAGCAUAAAUGGAGUUUCUAUGCUCUAGCUAU